rnacentral:rRNA from 1 species
AUUGAACGCUAGCGGCAUGCCUUACACAUGCAAGUCGAACGAGUGGCGGACGGGUGAGUAAUAUAUCGGAACGUGCCCAGCAGCGGGGGAUAACUACUCGAAAGCGUGGCUACUACCGCAUACUAUCCUAGCGGCCGAUAUCGGAUUAGCUAGUCGGUGGGGUAAAGGCUCACCAAGGCAACGAUCCGUAGCUGGUGUGAGAGGACGAACGGCCACACUGGGACUGAGACACGGCCCAGACUCCUACGGGAGGCAGCAGUGGGGAAUUUUGGACAAUGGAGGAAAGCCUGAUCCAGCCAUGCCGCGUGUAUGAGAAGGCCUUCGGGUUGUAAAGUACUUUUGGCAGAGAAGCGGUAUCUGCAGAAAAAGCAACGGCUAACUACGUGCCAGCAGCCGCGGUAAUUC